GCAAUUCUCCUGCCUCAGCCUCCCGAGUAGCUGGGAUUACAGGUAAGUGCCACCACACCCAGCUGAUGUUUGUGUUUUUUGUAGAGACGAGGUUUCGCCAUGUUUCCCAGACUGUUCUCAAACUCCUGAGCUCAAAGCAGUCCACCCAUCUUGGCCUCCUAAAGUGCUGGGAUUACAGGUGUGAGCCACCUUGCUCAUUCUAGUUUAAACUUUUGAAUGGUUUGUGUCUCCCGAUUGGACUCCUACAAGUACAGAGUCGAUGCUAGGAAGGGUACCAGGAGAUAGACACACACAGAUGGGAUUUGGGAGUAGGUUUGGUUAUCCAAGGAGCAGUGCUGAGCUCCUUGCUAAUGGGAUAUGGGAUGCUGGUGAUUUCCAGGAAGUGACUUCACAAUGACUCAAGCUACCAUAUACUGUUGAUUGUGAAAUGCCAGUUGAAGCAUAUGUCCUGUGAGCUUAGGGCUGCUACGGGUUGACCACUGCAGCAGUAAAGAUGACUCUGAAGAAUGGCAUGGGAUGGAUCCUUUCGAAUGCACUUGAGCAGCGGUCUCCAACCACAGGGCCACAGAGCUGGAGGUGAGCAGCAGCUGGAUCUACCAUGAACGACUUCUGAAUCCAGGAAGAGAGACUGACUGGGCAACAUGUUAUUCAGGAGAUGGGGUCUCACCCUGUCACCCAGGCUUGAGUACAGUAGUGCUAUCAGCUCGCUGCAGCCUUGAACUCCUGGGCUAAGGAUCCUCCUACCUGAGCCUCCUGAGUAGCUGGGACUGUAGAGUCUCCCUCUGUUGUCCAAGGCUGGAGUGUAGUAGUGCUAUCCCAGCUGACUGCAGCCUCAACCUUCCAGGCUGAAGCGAUCCUCCCAUCUCAACCUCCCACGUGGCUGAGACUAUAGGUGCUUGCCACUAUGCCCAACUAAUAUUCGGAAUUUUCCUAUACGUGGAUUCCAGAGGGGUGACAGUGAAACGCUGGAGUACAGUGGCACAACCUCUGCUCACUGCAGCCUCCACCUGCCAGGCUCAAGCAAUUCUCCUGCCUCAGCCUCCCGAGUAGCUGGGAUUACAGGUAAGUGCCACCACACCCAGCUGAUGUUUGUGUUUUUUGUAGAGACGAGGUUUCGCCAUGUUUCCCAGACUGUUCUCAAACUCCUGAGCUCAAAGCAGUCCACCCAUCUUGGCCUCCUAAAGUGCUGGGAUUACAGGUGUGAGCCACCUUGCUCAUUCUAGUUUAAACUUUUGAAUGGUUUGUGUCUCCCGAUUGGACUCCUACAAGUACAGAGUCGAUGCUAGGAAGGGUACCAGGAGAUAGACACACACAGAUGGGAUUUGGGAGUAGGUUUGGUUAUCCAAGGAGCAGUGCUGAGCUCCUUGCUAAUGGGAUAUGGGAUGCUGGUGAUUUCCAGGAAGUGACUUCACAAUGACUCAAGCUACCAUAUACUGUUGAUUGUGAAAUGCCAGUUGAAGCAUAUGUCCUGUGAGCUUAGGGCUGCUACAGGUUGACCACUGCAGCAGUAAAGAUGACUCUGAAGAAUGGCAUGGGAUGGAUCCUUUCGAAUGCACUUGAGCAGCGGUCUCCAACCACAGGGCCACAGAGCUGGAGGUGAGCAGCAGCUGGAUCUACCAUGAACGACUUCUGAAUCCAGGAAGAGAGACUGACUGGGCAACAUGUUAUUCAGGAGAUGGGGUCUCACCCUGUCACCCAGGCUUGAGUACAGUAGUGCUAUCAGCUCGCUGCAGCCUUGAACUCCUGGGCUAAGGAUCCUCCUACCUGAGCCUCCUGAGUAGCUGGGACUGUAGAGUCUCCCUCUGUUGUCCAAGGCUGGAGUGUAGUAGUGCUAUCCCAGCUGACUGCAGCCUCAACCUUCCAGGCUGAAGCGAUCCUCCCAUCUCAACCUCCCACGUGGCUGAGACUAUAGGUGCUUGCCACUAUGCCCAACUAAUAUUCGGAAUUUUCCUAUACGUGGAUUCCAGAGGGGUGACAGUGAAACGAAGUGACUUCACAAUGACUCAAGCUACCAUAUACUGUUGAUUGUGAAAUGCCAGUUGAAGCAUAUGUCCUGUGAGCUUAGGGCUGCUACAGGUUGACCACUGCAGCAGUAAAGAUGACUCUGAAGAAUGGCAUGGGAUGGAUCCUUUCGAAUGCACUUGAGCAGCGGUCUCCAACCACAGGGCCACAGAGCUGGAGGUGAGCAGCAGGUGAGUGAAGGGAAACUUCAUCUGUAUUUCUAGCCCCUCCCAUCGCUUGCAUGACCACCUGAGCUCCAUGUCCUGUCAGAUCAGCAGCAGCAUUAGAUUCUCAUAGGAACACAAACUCUGUUGUGAAGUGUGCAUGCGAGGGAUCUAGGUUGUGUACGCCUUAAGAGACUCUAAUGCCUGAUAUUCUGUUACUGUCUCCCAUCACCCCAGAUGGACAGUCUAGUUGCAGGAAAACAAGCUCAGAGAUCCCACUGAGUCUACGUUAUAGUGAGUUGUAGAAUCAUUUCAUUAUAUAUUACUAUGUAGUAAUAAUAGAAAUAAAGUGCACAAUAUAUGUAAUGCACUUGAAUCAUCCUGAAAUUAUUCCCUCACUCCCAGUCUGUGGAAAAAUUGUCUUCCACACAUUCACUCUGUUUUAUGGUAGAGGCAGGGUCUUAAUAUAUUGCCCAGGCUGAUCUCAAACUCCUGGCCUCAAGUAAUAGACCUCUCUCAGCCUCCCAAAGUGCUGAGAUUACAGGCAUAAGCCACCACCCUCAACCAAGACUUUCUUAAACCAAAUAAAAAUUAAGUGAGAUUACUUGAGCCCAGGUGGUCAAGGCUGCAGUGAGCCUGAUUGCACCACUGCACUCCAGCCUAGGUGACGGAGUGAGACUGUCUCAAAAAAUAAAAUAAAAUACAAAUUAACCCUUUAUGACGUUCCCAGUAACUUUCCCUCCUAAGUGUUCCCCACAAAUCUUUGAAUUCUGUUUAAU